rnacentral:misc_RNA from 1 species
CAACGCAUCAUCUGUGUGGGUGUUUCUCUGCCCCCCCCCUCUUCCCCUUUGUAUUGCGGGCGGCGCGUACGUGUGGCCAACCGCGUAAGCCUCGUGUUGCCGGCAGUUUUUCUUCUUUGUGUUUUACUUUGUGAAGUAUCUUCAGCCACUACGCAACUGAGUAACGUUCGCGCACUCACACACAGCAAGCAAGAGCUUCUCACAUUCUCAUGGGCACACGUCCUUGCACACAGGAAUUCGUAGAAAACGAAGAAGCAGCGGCACGCACACUUACACGUCAAGGCAAACACGCUCUGGUGUCGGCGUGGACGCACACAGGCACACCUCAUUUUGGAGGGAGGAGGGGGGCAUUCGCGCUGGACGACCCAGCACGUGCGCUACGCACUAAAACCACUCCUACUCUCUAGGAGCGUAGUCAUGCGCUAUCAGCGUCGCCCUCCGCCGCAUAGCAGCAUCGCUGGUGCGUGGAGGACAAUCUCGCUGGAGCGGCUCCUAGCCCUCUUCGGCAUCUGCGCAGGUGCCGCGGCGGCGACACCCGUUGCACCCGUAUCGUCGUCACUCGGUGCCGUGGUGCAAUCCUCGACGCCGCUCGCUGAGCGGCAGGGUUUCGUUCACCUGUGCUUGGUGAGGGACGGUUGUGGUAGCUGCGACAAGUAUGCGCCACAAGUACGACGUGCAUUAUCUGCCUCCCUCGUUGCAGCGGCCGCUGCAGACGCUACAUCAGCCCUUGCGUCGUACGUGCGGCAUGCCUCAAUGGUGGCAGGCCAGGGCCAGCAGUGUGAGGCGCAGCACGUCGCUGUGUAUGACGGCGAUGCUGCGGGAAAGGCGAGUGGUGUGAUCGCUGAUAUGGGCGAGGCAGCUGAGGAGGAGUACAAGCCAGAACGCCACGUGGAGAAUGCCGAGGCGGUCCUGCGAGAGAUGUUUGGGCCGCUGGCGAAACUUGUCCUGCACCGCAUCCCACAUCGUCGUCGGCCAGCCGCGGCAGCGGCAGCGGCAGCGGCAGAUGCCGAGACGCGCUCAGCAACUGAGGACGAGCAAGCCGAGGCAGACGACGUCGUGAUGCACCACAGUCACGAUGCGGGCGAGGAGGCGCCCACGAUGAACGAUCUAGGGAGUGCGGCAGCGCCGCCAGCGCUGCCUCACCCACACCAACAGGAGCAGCAGUUCUACUACCGAGUCUCCGCGACCUUCCGUCAGCUCGGCUUCCCCGUCGAACUGGCUGUCGCGAACGGCUUGCAUGCAAGAGAAACGAUUGAGGUGUGUCUUCAGCAAGCCUUGUCUAGCGAUGUCAAGUUUAUCUCUGUUAGCAGCAACCAUGGGCAUGCAAACCAGCAGCAGCGUCGCUUCGGCAGAGGUAGGGGGCGAGGAAGGCACCAGCAGCAUGAACGGAGCAACAUCAACUCGAUAGGGUUCCCGACUCACGGUGGCAGCAGCGACGGAGCCCCCUCUCGACUUACACCGCACCAGCAAGAGCUGAAGGCCAUCAUGAACGACCUGCGACAGCUCUGCACCCACUUUAGCCGCACCGUCAAGUUUUCUGUGAAGCCACCACUGCAGGCGAGCAUGUCGCGCUCCCCUGCGGAGAGGGUGGGUGCCGCGACAGCGGAGGUGAUGGCGAGGCCGUGGCGCUGCCGCUGCUACGUCAAGGAGGAGUGGAGUACUUCACCCCAGGCUCGCCUUGCUUACGAAGCAUGCGGCAGCAGCCCGAACGACGCCUUCGUCCGCUGUGUCGUAGAACUUCGGCGACAGUAUAGGGAAGAGAUGGACUCCACAAGCGUGACUCAGGAGGGCGUGCGUGAGGUGGCGGCGCUAGUACAGGGACACCGAAAGACAGUGACAGCGACCUGGAAGGAAGAGACUGCCGGUGGCAAGCCGGAGGCGACGACCGCAGAAAGCAGCGUGGAGGAGGAGGCCCAAGACGGCGCAUCCGCGACACGGGCGACGGCGCAUGCGAACUCGUUCACCUCUCUGACGCAGCCGCCCACGUACAGUACCCAGUUGCAGUUGACCGACGCGCGAGGGAACACCGCCGUGUACAACGCACGCCGCCAGGCCUCGCCGUACGUCGGAUACCAGACAGCGGCGAUGAGCGCCAUUCGCUCGGAGAGCGUGUGGGACAGCGAGACGCACUUGUUAUCUGAGAGGUUGGAGCCGGCGCCUUUGCUGUGGCGGCUGCGGUGGCAGUUCGACAUGCUGGUGGAUCACAUCUGCCGUGUAACAGGCAAGCCGCCCCUGGAGGUUGCUUGGAUUAAGUUGGGCGGCACGGGCAACGACGGCGGUGACGCCGAGCCGGCGAAGCAAGAAGCCAACAACACUGCAAUUAAUGACAGCGGUGCGGCUCCCACCCGCCCCCAGCUCGACACCCCUGUCGACCUCCCCAUCGUCUUCACCGGAUCUCUCUUUGUCGAAAGCAAUGCACUGGCGUGGCAGACGGCCGGGAAGGGGCGGUAUCGUGUGGAGUUCGACACCUAUGUUCAGGCUGUGUACUACCUGCUGGACCAGUAUGGCGACUGCCUAACCGCACUCCCAUGCAUGGCCGCUGGGCAAGGCGAGGGCCUGCUCUUCCCCAGUGCUGGCGUGCUGGAGCUGCAGGUGUUGCGGCACGACACAUUCCCUAUCCUGAAUCACCACCGGGGCAAGUGGAACUGCUACGCAAUUCUGGGCUCGCUUACUAUGCACCUGCUUGGCUGCCCCUUCCACACCCAUUAUCACUUUGACCUCGCCACGAAGGAGUGGGUGUCGACGGUGACCGUCAACAAUGGCCGGCAUUCGAGCUACCCUCUCUCGCAGCGCCGCUCUAAGAUGAAAGGAGAGGCGUGGCGAAAUGCGUGUCUCGCCGCCAUCCGGGACAACUUCCCUCGCCAAUACGCCGCUGUUCUGGAGAAGCACCCCGACGUGGAUCUCUCCGCUGACAACGGGGCACGCGGGCAGCGCUACCGCGCAUUGCCUCGAGAGAAACGUAUCGCGCACAUGGGUGGCUUCGUACCCAUGAUAAUGACCUUCGCCGAGGAGGACCUGGGGUGGAGGCAGCCGCGUGUCCGACUUCGCAACUUGUCCGGAGAUCUUGGUCUACCGCAGUGGAUUGCCGAGAUGGAGGCCCAGGUGGAGGGGGAGGAGGAGCGGCGCGUGGUGGCCGUCUCGCCAGCCUUCUUGCAGGUGCGGCAGGCGCGCAAGUCCUUGUUCUUCCGACUGGCGAAGCAGUACUUUCCGAAAGAGUUGAAGGUGUAUCAAUCCCUGAACCGCAGCGAUAGCGAUGACCCGGAGAUGGACAUCAACGUACGCCGCACAAGACUCUACGACCCUAAGAGCAGUUUUGACGGGUCGAUGCUGAGGCAUGUCACCUCACUGAUGGAGCGCGACCAUGCAACGAUUGCCCCGGUGAAGAUCACCUUAGAGGCGCGCGCACGCCAGCAGGACCCACACGGAACUGAUGCGAUGAGCGGGCAGCCGAUAGCAGGCGACGACCUUGAUGACAUGGAGCUCGACAUCCAUUACUCGGAUGGAGACACGAGCCUUCUGCACAGCCAGCAGCCGGAGAUGCUGCUGCGUCCCCUGAACCUGUCGUACAGCGCACAAGUCCUCGGCGAGCGCGGCAACGUCCUGAUCGCUGACUACGACUCUAGUCGCGCCACCACGCCGGCCGAUGCGGAGGCCGUUCCGGUACUCGUGACAGCGCUCAAGUCUGCCUCGUGCCACCUCGCCGGCGCGGACGCGGAGACGCUAUGGACGGAGUACGAAACCUACCCGGUGACUGGCGCCAGCUCUAACCGCGAGCUGUGCCUCGCUCUCUUUGGGGCGUUCUUUGGGCAUAAUGCGAAUGCCACGGUGGAGGCAGCGACUCCAGCCGCAAGCAGCUCGGGGGGCGAGCAAGCGCGAGCAGGUGGCGCACCCCUUCUCGGGGUAGCCGAUCUACAGGAUGUGAUGAACGACCCCGCCGCGCCGGUGAACGUGAUCGUGACUGGGGUGGGAAACUACUGGUUUGGCACUGUCGUCCUCCCGCGCUUCGGUAUGUUGCCGAUUGCCAGAGCGGUCGCCACAUCCAAGCGCCGGUGCGCUCGCGACGCCCUCACAUUGGCAACUCGCCGCAGCUUUCCUCGCGUGUUGCAGUACAUUAUCAAGCGCGACAUGGCAUCAGCAACGAUGGCGACCGAAGUUCUCUCCGAGCCUGUCAUCGAGCAGCUCCCGCCCGAGGUAUGCCGCGACGUGCUGGCUCAGCUAGCCAAAGCCAGACGCAACCGGCCGCCGCCGCCAUUUCGCCUGCUACUUCGCUGCAUGAAGUCGGCAUACCCGAUGCGUGACCACCGCAUCCGCGUUCAGAGCUCGUACGACACAACGCACGGCUUCCAGUAUCGCCUCUACCUCCAGCGUGGCUUGAUUGUGCGACAGAGCAGCACACAGCUGGUGGGAUACGGCGCCUCCACCUCGACCCAGACAGAGGCACUGUACCGCGCCGCCGUGAUGGCGCUGGAGAACCUCUUCGAAACAGCCCUGCACGCAGCAGAGACAAUGCAGCCGGGCUACCGCUCGCUAAGUGCGUCAGACCCUCAAAGUCCGUAAAGAAAAACCAAGAUGGCACAUAGUGGUGAUAAGCAUCAGGUGGGCGAGGGUGCGGGGAUCAACGGGUGACGCAAGGUGGGCAUUCCUUCCUCUUCCCCCCUCCUCCUCAUCACCGGAGAGCGCUGUCGCAGCUCUCUUGGAGCCUGGACACCGACUCCGAUAUCAUCAGUCGUGCGUUCCUUGCUCAAGCCGUGCUCGCGGCGACGUGCGUCACGAAGUCGGAAGAAGGUUUGCAGCGCCUCUCUCUCUGCGUGUGUGCGUAUAGGCGUGUGAGGGGUGGAGAGAGGAGGGGGAGCGGUUCUGUGCGGAGUGCAACACGGAACAUCAGCACGCACGCGCACACAUAAGCACACGAGAGAAUGACGAGCGACAGCCCCACUGGUUGCCCCUCCCAAUCCUUCUAAGACACAAGAAUGAGCACGGGCAGCGCGCAAAGCGGUCUCGACGAGGACACUGGCGACACUCACACAGACACGCACACACAGAGAGAAACGGGCAGCAAAAUAAGACGUAUAUGGCGCUGGCUAUGAAGAAGGAACGACGGUGGUGUUCUCCCCCUCCCCCUCCCCCUCUUCCUCACUCGGCUUCCUCUUGCAAGCGCGCGAGUACUUCUUGUUACCUUUUUUCAGCUCACUGCGGCGCGUGGUUGACAGAGGUGGGCUGCUGCUGCUUGUACUUUGGUCAGUGGCGCCGCAUCCUUUGGUUAUUGGGCAUGCAAACGACUGCCCCCUACCUUGUGUUCGUAACAUGAGCACGCAUGCACUCCGUCAGCUUUCCCUUCUCUCUCCUCUCUCCCGCGGCUACACAUAUUCAG